rnacentral:rRNA from 1 species
CCUACGGGUGGCAGCAGUGAGGAAUAUUGGUCAAUGGCCGAGAGGCUGAACCAGCCAAGUCGCGUGAGGGAAGACGGCCCUACGGGUUGUAAACCUCUUUUGUCGGGGAGCAAAGCGAACCACGUGUGGUUCAUUGAGAGUACCCGAAGAAAAAGCAUCGGCUAACUCCGUGCCAGCAGCCGCGGUAAUACGGAGGAUGCGAGCGUUAUCCGGAUUUAUUGGGGUUAAAGGGUGCGCAGGCGGAGGUGCAAGUCAGCGGUCAAAUUGCGGGGCUCAACCCCGGGACUGCUCUUGGAACUGCGUGGCUGGAGUGCAGGAGAGGCAGGCGGAAUUCCUGGUGUAGCGGUGAAAUGCGUAGAUAUCAGGAGGAACACCGGUGGCGAAGGCGGCCUGCUGGACUGCAACUGACGUUGAGGCCCGAAAGCGUGGGGAGCAAACAGGAUUAGAUACCCUAGUAGUC